rnacentral:rRNA from 1 species
CCCUUAGAUGUCCUGGGCCGCACGCGUGCUACACUGACGCCUACAGCGAGUACUUCCCAGCCCCGAGAGGCGGCUGGUAAUCAGCAAUAGGCGUCGUGAUGGGGAUAGAUCUUUGGAAUUCUGGAUCUUGAACGAGGAAUGCCUAGUAAGCGCAGGUCAUUAGCCUGCGCUGAUUACGUCCCUGCCCUUUGUACACACCGCCCGUCGCUCCUACCGAUUUCGAGUGGUCCGGUGAAUCUUUCGGACUGCGCGCAGCUUCGUGCCGUGUCGCGGAAAGUCAGGUAAACCUAAUCACUUAGAGGAAGGACAANUCGUAACA